CAACGCAGAUCAUCCGAUUGCACGACCUUCUCACCGCAAGGUACGGCCUUUCAGGAACAUCUGGCUUCACUUCUAUGGAAGCGGUGGGUUUGUUCCUGUACAUGAUGAGUGGGGAGUCGAACAGAGAUGCCAACUCAUUCUUUACGAGAUCGAGCUCAACCAUUUCCCGCUACUUCAACUCUGUGCUCGCAAGCGUCAACGCGCUUGCGGCGGACAUCUUGAAGCCGGUAGACCACAACUUUGUUCA
rnacentral:lncRNA from 1 species